rnacentral:rRNA from 1 species
AUACGUAGGGUGCAAGCGUCAUCCGGAAUUAUUGUGCGUAAAGCGCUCGUAGGCGAUUCGUCGCGUCCGGUGUGAAAGUCCAUCGCUUAACGGUGGAUCCGCGCCGGGUACGGGCGGGCUUGAGUGCGGUAGGGGAGACUGGAAUUCCCGGUGUAACGCUGGAAUGUGUAGAUAUCGGGAAGAACACCAAUGGCGAAGGCAGGUCUCUGGGCCGUUACUGACGUUGAGGAGCGAAAGCGUGGGGAGCGAACAGGAUUAGAUACCGGGGUAGUGCACGCCGUAAACGGUGGAUGCGGGAUGUGGGGCCCGUUCCACGGGUUCCGUGUCGGAGCUAACGCGUUAAGCAUCCCGCCUGGGGAGUACGGCCGCAAGGCUAAAACUCAAUGAAAUUGACGGGGGCCCGCACAAGCGGCGGAGCAUGCGGAUUAAUUCGAUGCAACGCGAAGAACCUUACCUGGGCUUGACAUGUUCCCGACGAUCCCAGAGAUGGGGUUUCCCUUCGGGGCGGGUUCACAGGUGGUGCAUGGUCGUCGUCAGCUCGUGUCGUGAGAUGUUGGGUUAAGUCCCGCAACGAGCGCAACCCUCGCCCCGCGUUGCCAGCGGAUUGUGCCGGGAACUCACGGGGGACCGCCGGGGUUAACUCGGAGGAAGGUGGGGAUGACGUCAGAUCAUCAUGCCCCUUACGUCCAGGGCUUCACGCAUGCUACAAUGGCCGGUACAACGGGAUGCGACAGCGCGAGCUGGAGCGGAUCCCUGAAAACCGGUCUCAGUUCGGAUCGCAGUCUGCAACUCGACUGCGUGAAGGCGGAGUCGCUAGUAAUCGCGAAUCAG